CAAAGGUGAAUCAUAAUAUUUAUAGCAAAUUAUACAGAGGAAGUAAUUCUUCUUGAUAAUAAACCGAUCAAAUUUCUGCCCUAUCAUACUUUGGACGGUAAUGUAGUGGAUUACGGUGGUGAUGACGGGUAACGGAGAAUUAGGGUUUGAUUCCGGAGAGGGAGCAUGAGAAAUGGCUACCACUUCCAAGGAAGGCAGCAGGCGCGUAAAUUACCCAAUCCUAAAACAGGGAGGUAGUGACGAUAAAUAACAAUGAUUCAAUGAUAACAAAGUUGAAUUAAUUGGAAUGAGAACAAUAUAAAUCCCUUAUCGAGUAACAAUUUCAGGGCAAGUUCUGGUGCCAGCAGCCGCGGUAAUUCCAGCUGAAAAAGCGUAUACGAAUAUUGUUGCAGUUAAAACGCUCGUAGUUGGAAUAAAAAAGAGAAAGAGAGAGAGAAAAACAAUUGUUUUUUCAAUCUUUAUUUC
rnacentral:rRNA from 1 species